AGAGUUUGAUCAUGGCUCAGAGCGAACGUUAGCGGCACGCCUAACACAUGCAAGUCGAGCGUGAAAGGGGCAACCUGAGUAAAGCGGCGCACGGGUGCGUAACACGUAGAUAACCUGCCCUAUGCAGGGGGAUAACGUCCCGAAAGGGACGCUAAUACCGCAUACAGCUCUCUGGGAUUCGUCCUGGGGAGGCAAAGGUUGGGACCCGCAAGGGCCAAUCGGCAUAGGAGGGGUCUGCGGCCCAUCAGCUAGUUGGUGAGGUAAUGGCUCACCAAGGCAAAGACGGGUAGCUGGUCUGAGAGGAUGAUCAGCCACACUGGUACUGGAACACGGACCAGACUCCUACGGGAGGCAGCAGUGGGGAAUCUUGGUCAAUGGGCGCAAGCCUGAACCAGCGAUGCCGCGUGAGUGAUGAAGGCCUUCGGGUUGUAAAGCUCUGUGGGGAGGGACGAAAAAGCGAGGUCUAAUAGGCUUCGUGUUGACGGUACCUCCUUAGCAAGCACCGGCUAACUCUGUGCCAGCAGCCGCGGUAAGACAGAGGGUGCAAACGUUGCUCGGAAUCACUGGGCGUAAAGGGCGUGUAGGCGGGAAGUAAAGUCAGAUGUGAAAUCCCUGGGCUCAACCCAGGAACUGCAUUUGAAACUCACUUUCUUGAGUACCGGAGAGGAAGGUGGAAUACCUGGUGUAGAGGUGAAAUUCGUAGAUAUCAGGUGGAACACCAGUGGCGAAGGCGGCCUUCUGGACGGUAACUGACGCUGAGACGCGAAAGCGUGGGGAGCAAACAGGAUUAGAUACCCUAGUAGUCC
rnacentral:rRNA from 1 species